rnacentral:rRNA from 1 species
CCUAUCCAUGGCCAGGUUGAAGCGAGAGUAAAAUCUCGUGGAGGACCGAACCACGUUGGUGUUGAAAAACCAUGGGAUGAGCUGUGGAUAGCGGAGAAAUUCCAAUCGAACUCGGAGAUAGCUGGUUCUCCUCGAAAUAGCUUUAGGGCUAGCGUCGUGUAAUUGAGUAAUGGAGGUAGAGCACUGAAUGGGCUAGGGGCUAUAGUAGUUACCGAACCCUAUCAAACUCCGAAUGCCAUAUACUUGUAUCACGGCAGUCAGACUGCGAAUGAUAAGAUCCGUAGUCAAAAGGGAAACAGCCCAGACCAUCAGCUAAGGUCCCAAAGUGUAAGUUAAGUGGAAAAGGAUGUGGGAUUUCUAAGACAACUAGGAUGUUGGCUUAGAAGCAGCCACUCAUUUAAAGAGUGCGUAAUAGCUCACUAGUCAAGAGAUCCUGCGCCGAAGAUGUCCGGGGCUCAAACUUACCACCGAAGCUAUGGGUGUACACUAUGUGUACGCGGUAGAGGAGCUUUCUGUAUGGGUUGAAGUCGUACCGUAAGGAGCGGUGGACUGUACAGAAGUGAGAAUGCUGGCAUAAGUAGCGAGAAAUAAGUGAGAAUCUUAUUGGCCGAAAACCUAAGGUUUCCUGAGGAAGGU